rnacentral:siRNA from 1 species
GAAAUUAAUCCUAGGUUUCGAGC